UCAUAAUUAGUGUAGUACUUAUAUGGUCCUCACUUUUUAAUUAUUUUCCUGUAAAACAGGUCUGUUCCAAGAGACAAAGAUUCGCUUCACUUGGCAACAGGAGAAAUCUGUGAGGUUGGAUUCUCUUGGUACUUACGCGUGACUGGGAUCUACGGGAAAGGCAAGCAAGGAAACUGGGGGCAGAGAGAGUGAAUGAUUGGACAGCCAGGAAAUAUCAGAGAUGGGAUUUGAACACCAUAUCCGACACUUUGUCUUAGACAGCAAACUCUUUCUGGGACUAGCAUUUCCUCCUCCACCAUCCUUUCCUCAAGGACGGUGACAACCCUUGUGGCUGCUGCCAGAAGCAAUUCUACUCCUCUCCUUGGAAUCUAAACCCUUCUUCUUAAACAUGGUGCCAAGAUGCAGAAAUAAAAGUGCCCAAAGCAAUUGCAACUGCC